UACGGAGGGUGCUAGCGUUGUUCGGAAUUACUGGGCGUAAAGCGCGCGUAGGCGGUUUGGUAAGUUGGAAGUGAAAUCCCGGAGCUCAACUCCGGAAUUGCUUUCAAAACUAUCAAGCUAGAGUAUGGUAGGGGAUAGUGGAAUUCCUAGUGUAGAGGUGAAAUUCGUAGAUAUUAGGAGGAACACCAGAGGCGAAGGCGACUAUCUGGACCAUUACUGACGCUAAGGCGCGAAAGCGUGGGGAGCAAACAGG
rnacentral:rRNA from 1 species